GACGAACGCUGGCGGCGUGCUUAACACAUGCAAGUCGAACGGAAAGGCCCCUUUGGGGGUACUCGAGUGGCGCACGGGUGAGUAACACGUGAGUAACCUGCCCUUGACUUCGGGAUAACUUCAGGAAACUGGGGCUAAUACCGGAUAGGAAUCCUUGCUGCAUGGUGGGGGUUGGAAAGCUUCGGCGGUUUUGGAUGGACUCGCGGCGUAUCAGCUUGUUGGUGGGGGAGUGGCCUACCAAGGCUUUGACGGGUAGCCGGCCUGAGAGGGCGACCGGCCACCUUGGGACGGAGAUACGGCCAAGACUCCUACGGGAGGCAGCAGUGGGGAAUAUUACACGAUGGGCGGAAGCCUGAUGCAGCAACGCCGCGGGCGGGAUGACGGCCUUCGGGUUGUAAACCGCUUUCAGCAGGGGCGAAGCUUGUGGUGACGGUACCUGCAGAAGAAGCACCGGCUAACUACGUG
rnacentral:rRNA from 1 species